UACGUAGGGUGCAAGCGUUGUCCGGAAUUAUUGGGCGUAAAGAACUCGUAGGCGGUCUGUCGCGUCGGCUGUGAAAACUCGGGGCUCAACCCCGAGCCUGCAGUCGAUACGGGCAGACUAGAGUGCUGUAGGGGAGACUGGAAUUCCUGGUGUAGCGGUGAAAUGCGCAGAUAUCAGGAGGAACACCGGUGGCGAAGGCGGGUCUCUGGGCAGUAACUGACGCUGAGGAGCGAAAGCGUGGGGAGCGAACAGG
rnacentral:rRNA from 1 species